rnacentral:rRNA from 1 species
AACGAACGCUGGCGGCAGGCUUAACACAUGCAAGUCGAGCGCCCCGCAAGGGGAGCGGCAGACGGGUGAGUAACACGUGGGAAUCUACCCAUCCCUACGGAACAACUCCGGGAAACUGGAGCUAAUACCGUAUACGCCCUUUGGGGGAAAGAUUUAUCGGGGAUGGAUGAGCCCGCGUCGGAUUAUCUAGUUGGUGGGGUAAAGGCCUACCAAGGCGACGAUCCGUAGCUAGUCUGAGAGGAUGAUCAGCCACACUGGGACUGAGACACGGCCCAGACUCCUACGGGAGGCAGCAGUGGGGAAUAUUGGCCAAUGGGCGCAAGCCUGAUCCAGCCAUGCCGCGUGAGUGAUGAAGGCCUUAGGGUUGUAAAGCUCUUUCGCCAGGGACGAUAAUGACGGUACCUGGAUAAGAAGCCCCGGCUAACUUCGUGCCAGCCGCCGCCGUAAGAC